CUGCCCUUUUAAAGUUGGCACAGUGAGUUAAGAGGCUAACACAGAAAGUGUGUGGUAAGUCUCCAUAAAACCCAGAGAAUAGAUUGUAAAAUUCCUCUUGGGAUCCUGUCCAGGGUCACCUCU